CGAGAAUUUUUCACAAUGGGGGAAACCCUGAUGGAGCGACGCCGCGUGGAGGAUGAAGGGCUUCGGCUCGUAAACUCCUGUCACCACAGACAAAAGCUUCACGGUGAACAUCCGUGAAGAUUGAUGGUAUGUGGAGAGGAAGGGACGGCUAACUCUGUGCCAGCAGCCGCGGUAAUAAAGAGGGCCCAAGCGUUGUUCGGAUUUACUGGGCGUAAAGGGGGCGGAGGAGGGCUGGAAAGUCGGGUGGG
rnacentral:rRNA from 1 species